rnacentral:rRNA from 1 species
CCUACGGGUGGCUGCAGUGGGGGAUAUUGCACAAUGGGGGAAACCCUGAUGCAGCGACGCCGCGUGUGUGAAGACGGUUCUCUGGAUUGUAAACCACUGUCCCCAGGGACGAAGAUGACGGUCCCUGGGGAGGAAGCCCCGGCAAACUCGGGGCCGGCAGCCGCGGUAAUCGGUAGGGGGCAGGCGUUGUCGGGAUUUACGGGGGGUAAAGGGAGCGUAGGCGGGAUGGCAAGUUGGGUGGUAAAUCUACCGGCUAAACUGGUAGUCGCACUCGAAACUGCUAUUCUUGAGUGAAGUAGAGGCAGGCGGAAUUCCUAGUGUAGCGGUGAAAUGCGUAGAUAUUAGGAGGAACACCAGUGGCGAAGGCGGCCUGCUGGGCUUUUACUGACGCUGAGGCUCGAAAGUGUGGGGAGCAAACAGGAUUAGAUACCCGUGUAGUC